rnacentral:tRNA from 1 species
GUGCCUAUGGUGUAACGGUUAGCACGGCAGUCUGUGGCACUGCCGGUUCGGGUUCAAAUCCCGAUAGGCACCCA